AUUGAACGCUAGCGGGAUGCUUUACACAUGCAAGUCGAACGGCAGCGCGGACUUCGGUCUGGCGGCGAGUGGCGAACGGGUGAGUAAUGUAUCGGAACGUACCCAGUAGCGGGGGAUAACUACUCGAAAGAGUAGCUAAUACCGCAUACGACCUACGGGGGAAAGGCGGGGAUCGCAAGACCACUCACUAUUGGAGCGGCCGAUAUCGGAUUAGCUAGUUGGUGGGGUAAAGGCCUACCAAGGCGACGAUCCGUAGCUGGUUUGAGAGGACGACCAGCCACACUGGGACUGAGACACGGCCCAGACUCCUACGGGAGGCAGCAGUGGGGAAUUUUGGACAAUGGGGGCAACCCUGAUCCAGCCAUCCCGCGUGUGCGACGAAGGCCUUCGGGUUGUAAAGCACUUUUGGCAGGAAAGAAAUUGCCUGGGUUAAUACCCUGGGUAGAUGACGGUACCUGCAGAAUAAGCACCGGCUAACUACGUGCCAGCAGCCGCGGUAA
rnacentral:rRNA from 1 species